UACGUAGGGACCAAGCGUUGUCCGGAAUCAUUGGGCGUAAAGCGCGCGUAGGCGGUCAGGUAAGUCCGGUGUGAAAGUCAAAGGCUCAACCUUUGAAUGCCGCUGGAUACUGCCUGACUUGAGUCCGGAAGGGGCGAGUGGAAUUCCUGGUGUAGCGGUGAAAUGCGCAGAUAUCAGGAGGAACACCAAUGGCGAAGGCAGCUCGCUGGAACGGUACUGACGCUGAGGCGCGAAAAGCGUGGGGGAGCGAACAGG
rnacentral:rRNA from 1 species